GGUCAUGAGUGCCAGCGCUAAGCCCGGGUUUGCUGGCCGGCAACCCUCCUACCGCGGUGGGGUGCCCCCGGUGAGGACCUGGCCUGGCGCGCAGGGCGCCCGGCAAGCGCGGGCU
rfam:Saccharothrix sp. ALI-22-I Contig63, whole genome shotgun sequence.